AUUGAACGCUGGCGGCAGGCUUAACACAUGCAAGUCGAGCGAGCGGCGGACGGGUGAGUAAUGUCUGGGAAACUGCCUGAUGGAGGGGGAUAACUACUGGAAACGGUAGCUAAUACCGCAUACCAUCAGAUGUGCCCAGAUGGGAUUAGCUAGUGGGUGGGGUAAUGGCUCACCUAGGCGACGAUCCCUAGCUGGUCUGAGAGGAUGACCAGCCACACUGGAACUGGGCCACGGUCCAGACUCUUACGGUAGGAAGCAGUGGGGAAUAUUCUACAUUGGGCGCAAGCCUGAUGCAGCAAUGCGGCGGGUGUGAAGAAGGCCUUCGGGUUGUAAAGCACUUUCAUCGAGGAGGCGUUACUCGCAGAAGAAGCACCGGCUAACUCCGUGCCAGCAGCCGCGGUAAUUC
rnacentral:rRNA from 1 species